rnacentral:rRNA from 1 species
UUCCUACGGGGGGCAGCAGUGGGGAAUAUUGGACAAUGGGCGAAAGCCUGAUCCAGCAAUGCCGCGUGAGUGAUGAAGGCCCUAGGGUUGUAAAGCUCUUUUACCCGGGAUGAUAAUGACAGUACCGGGAGAAUAAGCUCCGGCUAACUUCGUGCCAGCAGCCGCGGUAAUACGAGGGGAGCUAGCGUUAUUCGGAAUUACUGGGCGUAAAGCGCACGUAGGCGGCUUUGUAAGUUAGAGGUGAAAGCCCAGAGCUCAACUCUGGAAUUGCCUUUAAGACUGCAUCGCUUGAAUCCAGGAGAGGUGAGUGGAAUUCCGAGUGUAGAGGUGAAAUUCGUAGAUAUUCGGAAGAACACCAGUGGCGAAGGCGGCUCACUGGACUGGUAUUGACGCUGAGGUGCGAAAGCGUGGGGAGCAAACAGGAUUAGAUACCCAGUAGUCC